rnacentral:lncRNA from 1 species
UUUGACUAGUGAUCAAAAGAUCUCAAAAUUGACAAUUUUAAUGGCCGAUGUGGUGUGUUUGUGAGUUUAACGGUGUAAAACAAUCCAAAUGCGAUAAAAAUUUUAUAGAAAAUUCUUUUCACUAUUUAGAGUAAGAUCAGUAUAUCUGAUCUUGAAUUUAAAUCCUUUAUUAUCAUUUCUCAUGAGAUUUUUAUUUUCAACCGUUCAAUUUUAGACUACUUGUUUGAUAGGUAAAUGAUAUCGAAAAAUUGUGAAAUUUAGUUUCUAAAUAUUUUCAAUAAUGUAGAUCAAGUCUGACGAAACCGAUCGUCGAUUUGGAAGCCGCAUCAUCGAAAACAACUUGGUAGCACGGAGCGCUCCAUACUACCGAUAGUAUAGUAGCCUAGUUCUAUAUAUAUAUAUAUAGAGAGAGAGAGAGAGAGAGAGAGAGAGAGCUAGGCUCCUAUACUUUUUAAAGUACAGAAACCUCCGUGCUUAUAAGUUGUUUUCGAUGAUGGGACAUCCGAUUCGGCGAUCGGUUUCGUUAAACAUAAUCUACGCUAUUGUAACUAUCUAGAAACCAAAUUUUAUAAUUUUUUGACUUCGUUUGUCUAAUGAACGAGUAGCCUCAAAAUGAACGGUUGAAAAUAAAAGCUCAUAAAAAAUAGUGAUAAAUAACUCAAAUUUCAAAUCGGAAGUAUUGAUCUUGCUAUUAAUGUUAUGUAGAAUUUUCUAUUAAAUUUUUAUAUAAUUUGGAUACUUCUGCACUGUUGAACUUAAAAACUUGCCAUAUCGAUCAUUAAAAUAGUCAUUUUUGAGGCAUUUUGAUCGCUUGGUAAAUGAUGUAAAAAAAUAAUAAAAUUUGGUUUCUAGAUAGUUCCAAUAUAGUAGAUUAUACUUAACGGAACCGAUCGUCGAAUCGGAUGUCCUAUCAUCGAAAACAACUUACAAGCACGGAGGUCUCCGUACUUUCGAAAGUACGGAAGACGUACUAUAUAUAUAUAUAAAUAUAUAAUUGAGCUCCUAUACUUUUAAAAGUACCAAUUUAUCGGUACUUAUAGGUUUUCAGCUAUUAGAUUAAAGGGAUGGUUAGGAUGAUAGUUGUUUUCUAUAAUUGAGUAGGUGAUUUGUCGAAUAGUAUAAUAUAACGGAUGAAAAUAGUUAAAAUGGUAGGUCUAAUAAUAGAAAAUUUAUGAGUAUCAAGUGCUUUGUACUUUUACAAGCAGGGUCGCCAGACUCUCUCUCUCUCUCUCUCUCUCUCUCUAUAUAUAUAUAUCUUCUUCCACAUUGGGCCUUGGUGGCCCAUACAAGUCUCCAAAAAGAAUACUGGCUCAACAAGGUACGGCCCAAUACACCUUUGUGCUUCAAAAUAACUAAGUAGGCCACAAGUGGGUCAUGUAUACUUGUUAUUAAGACAAACAAAUAAUCUCAUUCAAACCCCUUUUUUUUUUAUAAAAAAAAAUGAAGAUCAUGUUCAUCGUGCAUGCAUGUAGUGUGCAUCAAAACCCCAAAUCCUAACAUGUCGCCACAUAAAAACGAGAACGAUAAUCUCAGUACAACUUGAGGAAUUCAAAUAUUGAUUAAAAUUGCAUUAUAUAUAAAAAACAUGUAUAACUUAUUUUUUCGAAUUUUACCCUUACAAGAUCCAGUGCACUCAAAUUAGUAUUAAUUUAUUAUAACAACUACUAAAAAGAAUACAUAAAAAUACUUCCACAAAGCAAACUUAUAUAUAUUAUAUAUUAUAAUAAUUAAUUACUAACGAGCGCGCCGGAACCGCCAAUCCACCUCACCAAUUCCGGGCUCGACCGCAACCGGACUCAAACCGGAAUUCGCACCAACCGCGCACGGGCCCAAACCCAACCCCUUUUCCCUCCCCACCACCACCUUUGUAGUAAAAUUGCUGCUAUUACUAUUCCUCCACGUAGUACCAUGCAUAGCCAUGUUUAUCCUCUCCCUCUCCAACUCCCUCCUCCCCAUCCUCCUCAACCUCUCCUUCCUACUCCUCACCAUCCUCGCCCCCGCCCCCGCCCCCGCCCCGCGCCUUCCCGCUAGCGGCACCGGCACGGCACCUGCCUCGAGCCCCAUCAGCUUCACCACCACCCCCGCUUGCACCACAGACCUUUUUCCUCCGCCAGCGUCGGCGGCAGCGUCAGCGUCUUCCCAGAAUCGACUCCUUGCCAGCGAAUUCCUAAACGACGACGCACAUUGGCGUCUUUCCCAUCUAAGGCGAGAACGCGCGGGUCUGAUUCAGGUGCGUCCCUCCUACCGCAGUAUGUCGGAGUUUUCACACACACAUCCCCGGUGAGCGUUUGCCGUACCAUCGAGCUUUGGCUGCUCUUCUCACCGCUUCUUCCUCUAAGUCCAGCUCAGAGAUCAUUUACUUCCCAGCGGUGGCGGGCUACGUCACGUCGCUCGACUCGUCGACACAGGGAGAAGUUCGCGAAGGGCGUUUUGCUGGUUUAGAUCGACGUCGACCCGCGCCGCUAGCAGAACUUCGAAUCCUCGCAUCAUUUCGAUGCUAAGUAGUUCUUGAGGAGGAAGAGGGAGAGGUCCUUCAUUGGAAAUAAGCAUGAAUAGGUAUGUUUUUCGGUGGGGCGGUUUAAAGAAGUGUGACACAACUUUAGAGCGUGAGUGUAAAUGAAUGAGAGUGAGGAGAGUAAUAUAUAAUACACAUAAUAUUCUAAUGGUUGUAAUGCAAUCACAUGAAAAAGAGAAAGGAGUUCAACAUAGUUGCUUACAUAUGCACAACUAAUCCGAAAUAGCAACCGCAUUCGGAUUUUCCAAAAAUUGACCACUUAAAUUGUUUAGCAUCCCUUACAUUAGUCGUACGAUCAUACAAUUUAUUAGCAAAAUUAUGCGACAUUGUGAAACUUUUUAACUCAUUCGGAGGUUAGCCAUUAAUAAUCCACUUUUAUCAAUUUCUUAAUAUAUAUGUAUAAUAUAUAUAUAUAACAUAUACAUAUAUAUAUUAUAAUAUAUAUAUAUAUAUAUAUAUAUAUAUAUAUAUAUAUAUAUAGAUCGAAUAACUUAAAAAUCACUUAACCGUCAUCACGAGUUAUAAUUAGAUAUAUUGACUUAGUUUUUAUUAGCUUUUUAGCAUGCCUAUUAAUUCAAGUCAUGCUUUUUUAAAGACUAGUAUAGAAAUCAAAAGAAAAGGGCUAGCUAUUUGAGGAAGUACAGGCUAUUGUGCAGUUGAUAUUGACAGUGCUUAUAUGCUGGAAAGAAAAGCACUUCUCAACUAACUAGGCUUCUUUACAUUAAUGUCUACAUAAGUGAUUAAUGCUCAGGCAUUUUAAGUAGAUGGUAUAAUGUAAUUGCUACAAAUGGACCCAACCACAUGUAGCAGUAGCACAGAGUAUUAAAAAACGUACCAUAUGUAUAUUCAUUCAUCAAUUUCACAUGUUAACUGCCAAAAAAUAUUUGGCGGGGCGGGCAACAAAUUAUAUGGGAUCCGUUUCAAAUGCUAGGUCGUGUUGGCUAUUUAUUAUUAGACUAAAUAGGUUCAACUUUCUGCCCUAUGACACUAGGCCGGAGAGACUAAUAAGUUAAGUUGGGUGAGCCUAAUAAAAUAAGUUGAGUGGAGGUGUAGUCCAUAAGAGACCUAAUGGUAAGAGACCUAAUAAUAGACUGAACGCCCAGUUGGGUUGAGUCAGAUCGAAACCCGGCCGUAAACAUUAUGGUCGAGUCCUUAAGUGCGAUGGAUGCGUUUUUUCUAUCUGCACAUGCUUUUGAAAUAGUUUUUUUUUUUUUAGAAAAAGAUAGCAUGCUAUCCGCUUUAUUUAUUUCGUUUAGAAAUAAACUUAGCUGGAAAUGUGAAUCAACUAGGAUUCGAAGUUGGGUCUCGGGUACUAACCAUCAAGCCCUUUUGCCACCUGCGCCAGGGACGGUCGGUAUGCUUUUGAAAUAGUUGGUUAAUACUUACGAUCCACAGACUGUUUUAAAACUGAAUCUAUAGGUAUGAUUAUGUGUUGUGAUUCACUAGUGUAACUCCACUUGAUCUCAAGUGCUUUAAUUUGAGACCGGUAUCAUACAAUUUUUGUUCAAGAUCCUCCGGCACGAGACUAGUCUUUUUUUUUUUUGAGAAAUAGGUAGCACGCUAUCCGCUUCGUUUAUUUCAUUUAGAAAUAAACUUAACUGAAAAUGUGAAUCAACUAGGAUUCGAACUUGGGUCUCGGGUACCAACCACCAAGCCCUUUGCCACUUGCUCUAGAGACGGUCAGUGGCACGAGACUAUUUAAUCCACUGUUUCCUAUACGGGCCGACAUUAAUUAAAAGCAGCUUGAGCCUAUUCGAUCCGCAAAAUAAAAAUCGAUUCUAUUUGGCCCUUACCCAGAUAGAUCUCUUUGGACUGGACUAAACCUUAAAUUGUUGUGCGAACUGUUCUCGUGCCGGGUUGGGCGAGAUUCGCUAAAAUAAAUCCGGCCCGAAAUUACAAUGGUCUUUAACCACGUGGACGCUGGAGCAAAGAUUUUUUUACGGUAAAUUGCAAGUUGGAUCCUCAGGUAACACUUUAAUCUUUAAGCUUUAAUUUCGUCUAAUUUUUUACUUGAAUAUUCAAAAUUAUUAUAACUUAAUUUAAUUAACUAAAUAUAGAAUGCGUGUUGUUAUUGAUAUUACACCAAUAAUUAAGAUGUCAACCUAUUUUUAUAUCAACAAUGCGUCAAUAUUUAAUCAACUACAUUGAAUUUUGGAACUUUAUUGCAACAAAUUUGAAAGUCCGAAUUAAAAAUUAUAAUAAAUUAAAAUUUAAGGACCAAACGUGUAACUUACCCUAUUUUAUAAUAAUUUACCAAACAUAAAAUUUUGCUAUCCUAUUCCUAGCCUAUAUACUGGACAGUAAAAAAAAAUAAAAUUUUUUCUUAAAAAAUCUUUAUUAAAAGAAGAGUUAAAUGCACUAUUUUAGCACUUAAAUCUCUAAUUUUUUGUAUUUAUUUUAAUCAAAUUUCUGCCUAUCUUUAAUUCUAACAAAAAUUACCACAUGUCAAAUAUAGUUUUACAUUUUAUUAAAGUAAAUAAAAAAA